rnacentral:sRNA from 1 species
CUGAUAGUUCUGGAAAAGGGAGUCCUUUGUUAAUCACCAGAGCAGACACAGCCUGGGUGGCACAGCAAAACCUGUUUCUCUGCACUGCCCCACUAAUGUAUCUCAACCCAUUUCUGGAGGGACCACAUCUAGAGGUAAGGGGGGAGUUCAGUCGCCAUUCCCAUCGAGCCCUUGGCCUCU